GGGGGUGAACCGGUUUCGACGGGGACACCGAGACUUGAAUAGCGGGCGGAUGUGUCAGACAUCCUAAAAACUGGCAAUUACAAAUUAAAGAACGACGAUAGUCAGUUCGCUCUCGCUGCUUAAGCAGUGAGCAUCGCCCACCAGAGGGCCGCGGCUGAUGUGUGCGGUGUCGAUUAGCGGCGUCCGUGCGUGCGCUAAGCUUUGCGCGCACCACGCAUCAUGAAGCUACUGAUUCCCGGAGUGUGACGGUUCACGCCGGGAUGAGGGAAUGAAAACAACCGCCUGCGCCCGGAGAAGUUCCUGAGGAAGUGUUUUCGGACAGGGGUCCGACUCCCCUCACCUCCACCA
rnacentral:tmRNA from 1 species